rnacentral:pre_miRNA from 11 species
GGCUGUGAAUUGGUUUAAUCUCAGCUGGCAACUGUGAGCAGUUUCCAAAUCCUCUCACAGUGGUUUCUGGGAUUAUGCUAAACACAGCA